UCCGUUCUCUCUCGCCCGUUUUUCUUUCAGGCCUGGUCCUCUUUGGAGACCCCACGAAUUACUAGUCCCGCAGGCAGAGAGCUGCUGAGACCAAGGCAGGUGACAUGGAAAAUUCCUGAAUGAAGAUCCUGAUAAGAAAUUUCAUGAAGUCAUCAAAGUGAAGCUUGAGUUUUGAUGGGGACCCCAAGGUGGUGAAGAAAGCAAAAAUGUGGAAUCUCUAUAAAGAAGAGCUGCACACAGAUUGAAUAGACCUAAUCCAGGAAGAUAAAUGAAGUCUGACAGGAAGGAAAGCUGGAAGGCAGAGCCAUGUAAGCAUUACGAUACUGGACUUGGAGCUAGAAAAUUUGGUGUUUGGUCUGCUAGGUUUCCAUCAUGCUUUAGUCCAGUAUUUCCUCACUAUGCCCCAGUAUUUUCCUUUGGCAAUGCAAAUAUAUAUUCUGUGCCAUUAUAUGAUAUGAAUAUGUAAUUUGCUUUUCGAUUUUACAGAGGGUUACAAUUAAAAGACUGGAGGAGAAUUGGGUUUUUAAAAUGUUAAGAUUGAAAAACUAUGGGACUUUUGGAGUUGUAGUAAAUUUAUUUUGCAUUAUAAUGUGACCAGGAAUUUAGGGACCCAGAGAAUGGAAUACAGUGAUUUAAAUGAAAUGUCCCUAAAAAUGUCUCAGGCAUUUGAAUACUUAGUUCACAGUUGGUAGCACUCUUUGUGUAGGAUUAGGAAGUAAUGGCCUUUCUGGAGAAAGUAUGUCCCUGGGGAAAGACUUUGAGGUCUCAAAAUCCUCUCCUUAUUCCUAAUGUACUCUCUCUCUGCUCUAGUUUGCAUUUUAAGAUGUCAACUCUCAGCUGCUGCUCUAGUCACCAUUCUUCCUUGCUGCCACACUUCCACAACAUCAUAAUGAUGAAUUCUUAUCCCUCUGGAACCAUAAGAAGCCCCAAAUGAACCGUUCCCUCUCUAAGCUGCCUUGGUGGGUUUUUGUUUGUUUGUUUUGUUUUGGGUGUCUUUUUCACAGCAAAAGAAAAGUAAUUAAAUAUGUCUGGAGAAUCCCAAAUGUACCUUGGCUUCUUCCUGUGGUCACCAGCAGAAUUCAAGGGCAACCAAGUGACUUUCAGCCCUGAAGAAGAAGCACUCUAUGACUCCACCACUUCUUCCAUGCUUCCUUCUUUCUUUCAUUCUGUUUGAGCCCUAAGUUUGUUAGAUGGUAUGGUCUGCUCCUCUCCCUUAGGUUUCUAUCUCUGUAAGCACACCUCAUAGACACAUCCAGAUGUGUGCUUGGCUUAUCAUCUAGAUCUGUACAAUCAAUUUGAGAAUCAAGAUUAGCCAUCAUUGACUGGUCUUCUAUCCCAAGGGUAAUUUUGAAAUUGCCUUUUCCAGCCUUCUGGGAGUCACUGAUUUAUAAGAAUUUUUUUUAUUAAGUUUUCAAUUUUCAUUUGUUUGCCCUCAACAUUGAAUAACUAGUGGAAUUCCAAACCUAGAUCUUCCACUAACUAGACUUGAAAUUUUAUACACCAUCCAACUAUUUACUCCCAUCCCUCAUGAUGGAUCAGCUUAAAAUUUUUUUAAUUUGUUUGUCUAGGUUUAUCUAGGACAGGUUCAUGAAAUGGCUGCUGAGGUUGGCAGUGAUGGUGAUGGACAUCUGUUGAAGACUCAGGAUUUAUGAAGGAGUACAGAUAGUAGACAGGGGAAAGCCUUUGGGUCUUCAGCCCUACACAAAGAACUACCUGCAACUAAGGAAUCUGCAGGUGGGAGAAAUAGGAAGGAGGACAAAAAUUUCUUAUCCAAUACCAAAUGAACAACCCUGAAAACAAACAUACAAGUAGCAUCAUUCAGACUGAGCAGGAUGUGUUUAUGUACUUAGGAAUAUAUAUGGGUAUAUGCAUAUGUUUAUGUGACAAAUAUUAAUAAAAAACAGAGGCCAUGAAUUUGAAAGAGAGCAAGAUAUUUUUUAGGUAGGAGAGGGAAGAGGAGAAAUGAUAUAAUUGUAUUAUAAUUUCAAGUAAAUAAAAGAAAUAAUUCUUUUAUAAAUAAAACUUAAAAAUAAAAAAAAAUUUAAAAAAUUAAAACUAAAAAAAAAGAGCUAGCUACCAUAAGUUAGGCCUCUAAAUGGAUCUAAAUACUGGUUGUUAGUAUUUAUUUAAAAAAAUAAUGCCAUGCAUACAGCCAUGUUGGGGGAAAGGGAAGCAUAAAAGAAUUGGAGCCUUAGUGAGCCAUGAAGGCAGAGAGACAAAGAGACAGGGAGAGAGACAGACAGAUAGAAAUAUUAGAAAGGGGAGCCCCUACAGAGAAAGAGGAAAGAGACCAAAACAGGGAGGAGCAAUGGAGGAGAGAGAGCAGAGAGGCAGAGGUCCUUUUAUCCCAGGCCCCUGUCAGUGACUAUCACAGGUGGCUAAGCAACCUAGGAGUUAUGAAAUAACUAACCUAGAAUGGAAAAAUAAAAAGCCCUAGCAUAAUGCUGGCAACACUAUUUUACAAGCAAUGCAGGGUCAGAGGCAGGGCAGGACAGGUGUCCAACCACAGGGUAUCUGCGGUUGGACGCCUGAAACAAUCGGGACACCCAAGAUAAGAACCGGGAGUCUUUCCCGCCUUCUCUGAACCGGCUACGUGACUUAGCCCACAUCUGCUUUCCCGCCUUCCCUGCUCCAAAUAUGUAACCUAACUAUGGCUUUGUUCAAAUCCCCCAAUCAGAUCCCCGUAACUAUGCUUCUCGCUUCUGUAAACGUGCUUCUUGCUCCCGAGCCCUAUAAAAACCCGUCACCCCAACCGAGAGGCGCGCAGGUCUUCCGAAAGGCUUUGUCGCCCCGGGUACCCGUGUAUCGAAAUAAACCUCUUGCGGCUUGCA